CGGCCCCAACGCUCCAUGCAAGCUUUCAACGAUGCCCUCUCUGACUGUGGAAUGGACGACCUUGGUUACAUUGGCGACAUAUUCUCAUGGCGACGAGGAAACAUACGAGAGCGUUUAGAUCGUGCAACCAGUAACAUUCGAUGGGCGGACAUGUUCCCUGGUUAUGGUGUGUCGAAUGAGGAUUUCGAUAAAUCCGAUCAUCGGUCGGUUCUU
rnacentral:rRNA from 1 species